CAUUUAUUCCGUUAGCUGGAAAGAACACAGCCGAGAGAAAGCGGGAGGACAAUCGAGAGGGAGAAAGAAAGAACAAAAAGGGAAGAAAAAGAAUCCAAGUUUUGUGUUGGAAAAUUGAAGGAAGUGCUCAAGAAAUUUAUCAAAUUGAAGUGUAAAGGUGAACAAUUGGAGGAUCAACAUUAGAGUUUGCUUCGAAGUCUGCUUUUUUGUCAAGCCACCCAAUAAGUACCUCUAUGUAGAGGGUUUAUUUUAUUUUGUCAGGCUUGAGUUAAUCUUUGUGUUAUGUUAAAAGUCCUCCAUGUAGUGUGUGUGAGAUAUGUUUUAAAAUAUGUCUUCGUACAUGUAUAUAUAAAAGUGCGUUAAAAAUGUUUUAAUUAUCACAAUUGAUCAUGUACGCAUAGCUCAAUGGACAUUAUUAUUUUUGUUUUGCUUCC